UACGUAGGGAGCAAGCGUUGUCCGGAUUUAUUGGGCGUAAAGAGCGUGUAGGCGGCCUUACAGGUCAGCUGUGAAAACUCGAGGCUCAACCUCGAGACGUCGGUUGAAACCGUAUGGCUAGAGUCCGGAAGAGAGGAGUGGAAUUCCCGGUGUAGCGGUGGAAAUGCGCAGAUAUCGGGAAGAACACCCGUGGCGAAGGCGGCUCUCUGGGACGGUACUGACGCUGAGACGCGGAAAGCGUGGGGAGCGAACGAGGAUUAUGAUACCCG
rnacentral:rRNA from 1 species